rnacentral:rRNA from 1 species
UCGAGGGAGGAGCCUUCGGGCUUCGACCGGCGUACGGGUGCGUAACGCGUAUACAAUCUGCCUUUCACAUAGGGAUAGCCCGAAGAAAUUUGGAUUAAUACCUAAUGGUAUAUAGUUGUGGCAUCACAUUUAUAUUAAAGCUGAGGCGGUGAAAGAUGAGUAUGCGUUCUAUUAGCUAGUUGGAGAGGUAACGGCUCCCCAAGGCGACGAUAGAUAGGGGUUCUGAGAGGGAUAUCCCCCACACUGGUACUGAGAUACGGACCAGACUCCUACGGGAGGCAGCAGUGAGGAAUAUUGGACAAUGGUCGGAAGACUGAUCCAGCCAUGCCGCGUGCAGGAAGACGGCCUUAUGGGUUGUAACUGCUUUUGCAGGGGAAGAAUAAGGAGUACGUGUACUUUGAUGACGGUACUCUGCGAAUAAGCAUCGGCUAACCCCGUGCCAGCAGCCGCGGUAAUACGGAGGAUGCGAGCGUUAUCCGGAAUCAUUGGGUUUAAAGGGUCCGUAGGCGGGUUAAUAAGUCAGAGGUGAAAGCGCUCAGCUCAACUGAGCAACUGCCUUUGAAACUGUUAGUCUUGAAUGGUUGUGAAGUAGUUGGAAUGUGUAGUGUAGCGGUGAAAUGCUUAGAUAUUACACAGAACACCGAUAGCGAAGGCAUAUUACUAACAAUUAAUUGACGCUGAUGGACGAAAGCGUGGGGAGCGAACAGGAUU